CCUACGGGUGGCAGCAGUAGGGAAUCUUUCACAAUGGGCGAAAGCCUGAUGGAGCAACGCCGCGUGCAGGAUGAAGGCCUUCGGGUUGUAAACUGCUUUUAUAAGCGAGAAAUAUGAUGGUAACUUAUGAAUAAGGAUCGGCUAACUACGUGCCAGCAGCCGCGGUCAUACGUAGGAUCCGAGCAUUAUCCGGAGUGACUGGGUGUAAAGAGUUGCGUAGGUGGGAUAAUAAGUAGCUAGUGAAAUCUGGUGGCUCAACCAUUCAGACUAUUAGCUAAACUGUUAAGCUCGAGACCGUUAGGGGUAACUGGAAUUUCUAGUGUAGGGGUGAAAUGCGUAGAUAUUAGAAGGAGCACCGAUAGCGUAGGCAGGUUACUGGGACGGUUCUGACGCUGAGGCACGAAAGCGUGGGGAGCAAACAGGAUUAGAUACCCGGGUAGUC
rnacentral:rRNA from 1 species